rnacentral:rRNA from 1 species
UAAAAUAAUUAAGGGCACACAAAGGAUGCCUAGGUAGUAAGAGCCGAUGAAGGACGUGGUAAGCUGCGAUAAGCCUAGAUAAGUUGCAAUCGAACGUAAGAGUCUAGGAUUUCCGAAUGGAGCAAUCUAUUAAGAUGGAGUCUUAAUACGAAAGAGGGAACCGCGUGAACUGAAACAUCUAAGUAACGCGAGGAAAAGAAAGUAAAAACGAUACCCAAAGUAGCGGCGAGCGAAAUGGGUCAAGCCUAAACCUUAAAUAUGUCAAGGAUACAGCCGUUGUAUUUAAGGGGUUGAGGGACAGAGUGAUGAAGAACUGUAAGAUAUUCAAUAUAGUGUAUUGAUGAAUUAGAAUUGUCUGGAAAGGUGAACCGCAGAAGGUGAAAGUCCUGUAUAAGUAAAUCCUUACACAUAUAACUUUGCUCCCAAGUAACAUGGAACACGAGGAAUUCUGUGUGAAUCUGUGAGGACCAUAUCUCAUAAGGCUAAAUACUCUUACUAACCGAUAGCGCAUAGUACCGUGAGGGAAAGGUGAAAAGAACCCCUGGAGGGGAGUGAAAUAGAACCUGAAAUUGUGUGCUUACAAGCGGUCAGAGCCCAUUUGGGUGAUGGCGUGCCUUUUGGAGAAUGAUCCUGCGAGUUACGUUAAACGGCGAGGUUAAGUAUAACGGAGCCGAAGGGAAACCAAGUCUUAAUAGGGCGAUUUAGUCGUUUGGCGUAGACGCGAAACCUGGUGAUCUAAACCUGUCCAGGAUGAAGCUGUGGUAAGACACAGUGGAGGUCCUAACCCACCGCCGUUGAAAAGUUGGGGGAUGAGGUAGGUUUAGGGGUGAAAAGCCAAUCGAACCAGGAGAUAGCUCGUUCUCUCCGAAAUGCAUCUAGGUGCAGCCUUGAGUGUUCAAUUAUGGGGGUAGAGCACUGAAUGAUCUAGGGGGCAUAUUGCUUACUGAAAUCAAUCAAACUCCGAAUACCAUAAUUUAUAGCUCAGGAGUGAGACUAUGGGAGUUAACUUCCAUUGUCAAAAGGGAAACAACCCAGACCACCAGCUAAGGUCCCUAAUUAUAACUAAGUGGGAAAGGAGGUGGAGAUUCACAAACAACUAGGAGGUUGGCUUAGAAGCAGCCAUACCUUUAAAGAGUGCGUAAUAGCUCACUAGUCGAGAGUCUCUGCGCCGACAAUGUAACGGGGCUAAGUUAUAAACCGAAGCUGUGGAAUCCUUUUGGAUUGGUAGGAGAGCGUUCUGUAGGCCGUUGAAGAAGAAGGGUAACCAACUUUGGAGGUAUCAGAAGUGAGAAUGCAGGAAUAAGUAGCGAGAAAGGGGGCGAGAAUCCCCCUCGCCGGAAGACCAAGGUUUUCAGGGUAAAGCUUGUCUUCCCUGAGUAAGCCGGGACCUAAGCCCAGGCUAUAAUGCGUAGGCGAAUGGAAAACAGAUUAAUAUUUCUGUGCCAGUCAUUUAUUGUGAUGGAGGGACGCAGAAGGGUAUGCGCGCGGACGAUCGGUUGUGUCCGUAGAAGUAUGUAGGGUGACUUAGUAGGUAAAUCCAUUAAGUUAUAUCUGAGGUAUGAUAUACAGUCGUAAGAUGAAUGCGCAAAUCCCACGCUGCCAAGAAAAGCUUCUAACGUUAAUAUAUGACUGCCCGUACUGUAAACCGACACAGGUGGUCAGGAUGAGAAAUCUAAGGCGGACAGGCUAACUCUCGUUAAGGAACUCUGCAAAAUAACCUCGUAACUUCGGGAGAAGAGGAGCCCUUGAGUGUUAGUAUCCAUGCGAUACAAAGCGCUCGAGGGUCGCAGUGAAGAGGCUCAAGCAACUGUUUAACAAAAACACAGGUCUAUGCUAAGCUGGAAGGCGAUGUAUAUGGGCUGACACCUGCCCAGUGCUGGAAGGUUAAGAGGAGGAGUGAGAGCUCCGAAUUGAAGCCCCAGUGAACGGCGGCCGUAACUAUAACGGUCCUAAGGUAGCGAAAUUCCUUGUCGGGUAA